AGUGAACGCUGGCGGUAGGCCUAACACAUGCAAGUCGAACGGCAGCACAGUAAGAGCUUGCUCUUACGGGUGGCGAGUAGCGGACGGGUGAGGAAUACAUCGGAAUCUACUUUUUCGUGGGGGUUAACGUAGGGAAACUUACGCUAAUACCGCAUACGACCUACGGGUGAAAGCAGGGGAUCUUCGGACCUUGCGCGAUUGAAUGAGCCGAUGUCGGAUUAGCUAGUUGGCGGGGUCAAGGCCCACCAAGGCGACGAUCCGUAGCUGGUCUGUGAGGAUGAACAGCCACACUGGAACUGAGACACGGUCCAGACACCUACGCGAGGCAGCAGUGGAGAAUAUUGGACGAUGGGCGAGAGCCUGAUCCAGCAAUACCGCGUGGGUGAAGAAGGCCUUCGGGUUGUAAAGCCAUUUUGUUGGGAAAGACAAGCAGCAGGUUAAUACCCCGCUGUUCUGACGGUACCCAAAGAAUAAGCACCGGCUAACUUCGUG
rnacentral:rRNA from 1 species